AGAGUUUGAUCCUGGCUCAGAGCGAACGCUGGCGGCAGGCUUAACACAUGCAAGUCGAGCGGGCGUAGCAAUACGUCAGCGGCAGACGGGUGAGUAACGCGUGGGAACGUACCUUUUGGUUCGGAACAACCCAGGGAAACUUGGACUAAUACCGGAUAAGCCCUUACGGGGAAAGAUUUAUCGCCGAAAGAUCGGCCCGCGUCUGAUUAGCUAGUUGGUGAGGUAACGGCUCACCAAGGCGACGAUCAGUAGCUGGUCUGAGAGGAUGAUCAGCCACAUUGGGACUGAGACACGGCCCAAACUCCUACGGGAGGCAGCAGUGGGGAAUAUUGGACAAUGGGCGCAAGCCUGAUCCAGCCAUGCCGCGUGAGUGAUGAAGGCCCUAGGGUUGUAAAGCUCUUUUGUGCGGGAAGAUAAUGACGGUACCGCAAGAAUAAGCCCCGGCUAACUUCGUGCCAGCAGCCGCGGUAAUACGAAGGGGGCUAGCGUUGCUCGGAAUCACUGGGCGUAAAGGGUGCGUAGGCGGGUCUUUAAGUCAGGGGUGAAAUCCUGGAGCUCAACUCCAGAACUGCCUUUGAUACUGAAGAUCUUGAGUUCGGGAGAGGUGAGUGGAACUGCGAGUGUAGAGGUGAAAUUCGUAGAUAUUCGCAAGAACACCAGUGGCGAAGGCGGCUCACUGGCCCGAUACUGACGCUGAGGCACGAAAGCGUGGGGAGCAAACAGGAUUAGAUACCCUAGUAGUCC
rnacentral:rRNA from 1 species